UACAGAGGGGGCGAGCGUUGUUCGGAAUUACUGGGCGUAAAGGGCGCGUAGGCGGCCUCUUAAGUCAGACGUGAAAUCCCCCGGCUCAACCGGGGAACUGCGUCUGAGACUGGGAGGCUCGAAUCCGGGAGAGGGAUGUGGAAUUCCAGGUGUAGCGGUGAAAUGCGUAGAUAUCUGGAGGAACACCGGUGGCGAAGGCGGCAUCCUGGACCGGCAUUGACGCUGAGGCGCGAAAGCCAGGGGAGCAAACGGG
rnacentral:rRNA from 1 species